GAUGAACGCUGGCGGCGUGCCUAAUACAUGCGAGUCGAGCGAACGGACGAGAAGCUUGCUUCUCUGAUGUUAGCGGCGGACGGGUGAGUAACACGUGGAUACCCUACCUAUAAGACUGGGAUAACUUCGGGAAACCGGAGCUAAUACCGGAUAAUAUUUUGAACCGCAUGGUUCAAAAGUGAAAGACGGUCUUGCUGUCACUUAUAGCUGGAUCCGCGCUGCAUUAGCUAGUUGGUAAGGUAACGGCUUACCAAGGCAACGAUGCAUAGCCGACCUGAGAGGGUGAUCGGCCACACGAGAACUGAGACACGGUCCAGACGCCUACGGGAGGCAGCAGUAGGGAAUCUGCCGCAAUGGGCGAAAGCCUGACGGAGCAACGCCGCGUGAGAGAUGAAGGUCUUCGGAUCGUAAAACUCGGUUAUUAGGGAAGAACAUAUGUGUAAGUAACUGUGCACAUCUUGACGGUACCUAAUCAGAAAGCCACGGCUAACUACGUG
rnacentral:rRNA from 1 species